UUAAAACUUUUAACAACGGAUCUCUUGGUUCUGGCAUCGAUGAAGAACGCAGCGAAAUGCGAUAAGUAAUGUGAAUUGCAGAAUUCAGUGAAUCAUCGAAUCUUUGAACGCACAUUGCGCCCUCUGGUAUUCCAGAGGGCAUGCCUGUUCGAGCGUCAUU
rnacentral:rRNA from 1 species